GACGAACGCUGGCGGCGUGCUUAACACAUGCAAGUCGAACGAUGAAGAAAAGAAUCGAAGCUUCGGCAGAAAUUCAUUUCGGAUUAGUGGCAGACGGGUGAGUAACGCGUGAGCAACCUACCUCUUACAAAGGGAUAGCCUCGGGAAACCGGGAUUAAUACCAUAUAACAUUGCGACGAAGCAUUUCGAUGCAAUCAAAGCUACGGCGGUAUGAGAUGGGCUCGCGUCCCAUUAACCGGAUGGUGAGGUAACGGCUCACCAUAGUGACGAUGGGUAACCGGCCUGAGAGGGUGAACGGUCACACUGGAACUGAGACACGGUCCAGACUCCUACGGGAGGCAGCAGUGGGGAAUAUUGCACAAUGGAGGGAACUCUGAUGCAGCGACGCCGCGUGAGUGAUGAAGGAAUUCGUUUCGUAAAACUCUGUUCUAUGGGAAGAAAAGGACUGUACCAUAGGAGAAAGCUCCGGCUAAAUACGUG
rnacentral:rRNA from 1 species